rnacentral:snoRNA from 1 species
ACAGCACAAAUGAUGAAUAACAAAGGGACUUAAUACUGAAACCUGAUGUUACAUUGUAGUGUGCUGAUGUGCUGU